UUGGAAACAAGCCACACCAGCUCUCCCUGCAGAUGAGACCUGCCACACAAACAGGCCAAAAAGAAGGAAGUGAGAUAUAUCCCCCACGGUGGACUGCCACAGACACACUGAUCGGGGAGCGUGCCAUGUCAGUGGAGUGAGAGGGACUUAUGGAAGGUGCUGCAUUGAGUUCUUCAUAUUUGAAGGUCAGUGGCAGCCUGACAUGUACUCAGAGGGGAGAGAGGACCCAGUUGAAACAGAUGGGAAGUGCUGAUUCGUGUACAGAAGAAGAGAAAGUCAAUCAAUUUGAAAUGGGAGUCCAGAAAUGGACAUGGCAAGCCAGCGUAAUCAAAUCUAAAGCUUAUGGCAAAGAGAAAUGUUCCCGGAAUUUAAUUGAGAUCAAUGUGAUUAUUCUUGCUGGGAAUUAAAUCUCAUUGUUACGCUUUUACUCUAGAUGUAGGUUGGUAGCUUAGUUAAAAUUUUGUACAUCUACCUCCUAUCCCAGACUUUAUGUCCUUGCUAACAUGUGCAUAACACUUACUGUAGCUACCAGAUCUGAUUAUGUAUGCUGUUCUUUUAAUAGGGAAUCUGCUAAAACACAGCCUAGCUGGGUAAGUGCUAAUAUUGCUAUGCGAAGUCUGGCU